UGGGGAAUUUUGGACAAUGGGCGAAAGCCUGAUCCAGCAAUGCCGCGUGUGUGAAGAAGGCCUUCGGGUUGUAAAGCACUUUUGUCCGGAAAGAAAUCCUUGGCUCUAAUACAGUCGGGGGAUGACGGUACCGGAAGAAUAAGCACCGGCUAACUACGUGCCAGCAGCCGCGGUAAUACGUAGGGUGCAAGCGUUAAUCGGAAUUACUGGGCGUAAAGCGUGCGCAGGCGGUUUGCUAAGACCGAUGUGAAAUCCCGGGCUCAACCUGGGAACUGCAUUGGUGACUGGCAGGCUAGAGUAUGGCAGAGGGGGGUAGAAUUCCACGUGUAGCAGUGAAAUGCGUAGAGAUGUGGAGGAAUGCCGAUGGCGAAGGCAGCCCCCUGGGCCAAUACUGACGCUCAUGCACGAAAGCGUGGGGAGCAAACAGGAUUAGAUACCCUGGUAGUCCACGCCCUAAACGAUGUCAACUAGUUGUUGGGGAUUCAUUUCCUUAGUAACGUAGCUAACGCGUGAAGUUGACCGCCUGGGGAGUACGGUCGCAAGAUUAAAACUCAAAGGAAUUGACGGGGUCAUAGCUGUUUCCU
rnacentral:rRNA from 1 species